rnacentral:lncRNA from 1 species
ACAUCCUCAUCAGACGCACAGCUUACAGAGAGUCUCUAUACCACUGGUUCUGGGGUCUGGAGAUGGAGAAAGAGAGACAAUGGAGAGACACUGGGAUUUACUAAUCAAAAUGCAAAUAUUUUCCAUUAGAGCUACAAAAGACAUCUUACAACCUACAGUCAGAGAAGAGAGAGAGAAAACAUGGGCAUUGACAUUAUCAUGCAUUUACAGAGAGAAAACAUGGGCAUAUGAUUAUCAUGCAUUUACAGAGAGAAAACAUGGGCAUUAAAUUAUCAUGCAUUUACAGAGAGAAAACAGGCAUUAAUUAUCAUGCAUUUACAGAGAGAAACAUGGGCAUUGAAAUAUCAUGCAUUUACAGAGAGAAAAAUGGACAUAAUAUUGCAUUACAGGAGAAAACAUGGGCAUUGAAUUAUCAUGCAUUUACAGAGAACAGACAGAAAACACGGGUAAAGAGACAUAUUGUAAGGUCUCUAUUAGUUAGAACAUCUGAAAUCUAA